AGAUAAAUCAAACAUUAAACUUUAUAUUUUAUAAUAAAAAAUAUUAUUUCAGAUAAACUACAACAUAUUAAAAAAUUAUCUUAUGUUUUAAAAAUAUAUUUUAUUUUUGAGAAUUUUAUUAUAUUUACUUAUAAUCAAUUAUCAAAUAUAACGUAUAAACAAAAUAUAUUAAUAUAUAUUCAUUAGUUUCAUCAAAAUAUAUAUAUAUGCUUAUUAAACCUCUCUCUAACUUGCUCUACCUUCUCUCUACCAAAGUUUCUAAAUCAAAGAAUCUCGUAGGUGACCGGUGGUCUUUCCACCGGUUACCAUCUUUUUUAUUUUGUUUUUUGUUGUGAAUACUUUCGAUCUAUGUAUCGAACUUGCUUCGCGUAGGCGAUCUUGUUUUCGUUAGGCGAUUUUGGUGUGCUAAGCUUUAAUCAAAACAGACCCGAUUUUCACUCUUUGAAGAAAUCAAUCUUUGCUUCAUAUGGAUUUGGCAAAGUAUUCGGAUGAUUUGAAGAUUUGAGUUUUUACAAGUGAGCUUUUGGUUUGGUACAGUUUAAGAAAAGACAGAGUUUGUUCUAUAGACAAGUGUUCUGUCAAUAGCUGUGUCCUAAAUCAGAUAAUGCUUCUUGAAGAUGUUCACAUCCAGUGAAGACAGUAAGAGAGUCUCAGAGGCAACAGCGAUUGAGAGACUGAAGCAUACAAAUGGAAUCAAAGUUGGGUUCGAUCUUUGUGUUCCGGAGGAAUCGACUCGUCGGAGUUCAAGUCGGUUACCUUGCCGGAGAAGAGGCAAUCCUUUCCCAUGAGUGACACGUGGAGCCAGUUAAGAGAUGAUGGAGGCACGUAGAUGGACAACUGCCUUACUCUUGUUCAUCCUUAUCAUAUAAUUUAGGGUUUAAUUGGGCUCAGCAUUUGUAAUGGGUUUGAAUUCCAUUUGUAACAAAAAUUGCCCUUUGGGCUUUUAAUAUAAAGGUUGACAAAAAAAAAAUAUAUAUAUAUAUAUAUGCUUAUUGUUUUGUUAAA